GUCCUAGCCGUAAACGUUGGGUGCUAGGUGUGGGCGGAUAUCGACCCCGUCCGUGCCGAAGCUAACGCAUUAAGCACCCCGCCUGGGGAGUACGGCCGCAAGGCUAAAACUCAAAGGAAUUGACGGGGGCCCGCACAAGCGGCGGAGCAUGCGGCUUAAUUCGAUGCAACGCGAAGAACCUUACCUGGGCUUGACAUGCAGGGUGAAACCCGUGAAAGCGGGUGCUCUACGGAGCCUGCACAGGUGGUGCAUGGCUGUCGU
rnacentral:rRNA from 1 species